GCUUCACAGCUGAAUUUCAGAAAGGAUAGUCUCAGGUAUUAUUAUCUCACCUGCCUACCUCAGGGUUACUGUAAGGGCAAAAGUGAGGUAACAGAUGGGAAAACACCAUGGCAAAUUAAAAACACUAAACAUGGAUAAUAUUUUAUCCACUUCUAGACAGUAAGCUCCUUGAGGACUGGAACUGUUUUUCUGCAAAUAAACCUUGAAAGAAUGCAGAGCAACUAAAGGAACAGUGAAGGGACUUGUCCAAGGUUACCAGAAGCAAGAGUAUGUGAUGCACUGUGUGGUCUAUGAGCAGAAUCUAUUGAAUGGAGGCUCAAGCUGAGAACGUAUUUUCCUUCUUCCACAAUGAUUCCAAAAAUUGUAUGAAGAUUUCCAAGGUGGAUUAGGAGACCUCCAUUACGUAAAAACUAAUUUUCCUGAGAUGUCUUAGGAGUCCUAACAUAAUCAAGAAGACUAAAUCACAUUGAACUUGAGAAAAGACGGUCUUUGUGUUCCUGAGAGAAGUGUGGAAGAGGCAUGGAGGAAGAGAGAAUUUCAGGCUUGCGAAACAAAGCUGGGGACAUGAUCUGUCAGUCAAGAAGGAAGAUCAGGCCUCAGAACUGUCAUAUCUAAACCUGAUGUCUGUGACCAAAACUUUUUUGGAAAUAAGACUGGUAGCAUGUUUCUGGUGUCUGGACAAAUACUGUGAAGCCUGAGGUUGCCAGGACUGCAACUCAAGAGAGAAAUACCAGAAUGCCUCCACACAUAUUACUAGUUCCUUCCCUCUGGGAUUACCUCCCAUUUACACUAUCUAUCUAUCUAUCUAUCUAUCUAUCUAUCUAUCUAUCUAUCUAUCUAUCUAUCUAGUAUGUUCUGGGUAUUUGUGUAAUGUCUCUUCCCAUUAAAAUGUGAUCUCUCUGA